AAGGAGAGAUCCGGCAUAGGAUGGACAUGCGUCGCAUUAGGUAGACGGCGGGGUAACGGCCCACCGUGCCGACGAUGCGUAGGGGUUCUGAGAGGAAGGCCCCCCACACUGGUACUGAGACACGGACCAGACUCCUACGGGAGGCAGCAGUGAGGAAUAUUGGUCAAUGGCCGAGAGGCUGAACCAGCCAAGUCGCGUGAGGGAAGAAUGUCCUAAGGAUUGUAAACCUCUUUUGUCGGGGAGCAAAAAGGCUCUGCGGAGUCGUAUUGAGAGUACCCGAAGAAAAAGCAUCGGCUAACUCCGUGCCAGCAGCCGCGGUAAUACGGAGGAUGCGAGCGUUAUCCGGAUUUAUUGGGUUUAAAGGGUGCGCAGGCGGCGUGUCAAGCAAGCGGUAAAAUAGCGGGGCUCAACCCCGUCGAGCCGUUUGAACUGGCGCGCUUGAGUUCAGGCGAGGUAGGCGGAAUUCGUGGUGUAGCGGUGAAAUGCAUAGAUAUCACGAAGAACUCCGAUUGCGAAGGCAGCUUACCAGUCUGCGACUGACGCUCAGGCACGAAAGUGUGGGUAUCGAACAGGAUUAGAUACCCUGGUAGUCCACACAGUAAACGAUGAGCGCUAGGUGUCCGGGUCGCAUGAGAC
rnacentral:rRNA from 1 species